UACGGAGGAUGCAAGCGUUAUCCGGAAUUAUUGGGCGUAAAGCGUCCGUAGGUGGCUAAUCAAGUCUGCUGUCAAAGCGUGGAGCUUAACUCCAUAUCGGCGGUGGAAACUGAUGAGCUAGAGUGCGAUAGGGGUAGCAGGAAUUCCCAGUGUAGCGGUGAAAUGCGUAGAGAUCCGGAAGAACACCGGUGGCGAAGGCGGUCUGCUGGGCAGUUGCUGACACUGAGGCGCGACAGCGUGGGGAGCAAACAGGG
rnacentral:rRNA from 1 species